CUGGGCGCUGAGAGAUUGGCGCUGAAUACCAUGGAGAAGUCAGCAGAAGGCAUAGUAGGCGGGUGGCACCGCCGAAGGCC
rnacentral:ncRNA from 1 species